GUAGGGAGCGAGCGUUAUCCGGAUUUAUUGGGUGUAAAGGGUGCGUAGGCGGUAAUACAGGUCUUUGGUAUAAGCCCGCAGCUUCACUUCGGUAAGCCAGAGAAACCGUAUAACUAGAGUAUGGUAGAGGCAAGUGGAAUUUCUAGUGUAGCGGUAAAAUGCGUAGAUAUUAGAAGGAACACCAGUGGCGAAGGCGACUUGCUGGGCCAAAACUGACGCUGAGGCACGAAAGCGUGGGGAGCAAA
rnacentral:rRNA from 1 species